rnacentral:misc_RNA from 1 species
GAUGAAGAACGUAGCGAAUUGCGAUAUGUAAUGUGAAUUGCAGAAUUCAGUGAAUCAUCGAAUCUUUGAACGCACCUUGCGCUCCUUGGUAUUCCGAGGAGCAUGCCUGUUUGAGUGUCAUGAAAUUCUCAACCUUUUCAGCUUUCUUUGUUGAUCAGGCUUGGAUGUGGGAGUAUGCGGGCUUCUCAGAAGUCGGCUCUCCUGAAAUGCAUUAGCGGGACCUUUGUUGCCUGGCUUUGGUGUGAUAAUUAUCUACGCCAUUGUAGUCAAGCAGCUUAAAAUGAGGUUUCAGCUUCUAACCGUCUCCCCUGAGACAACUUUUUGACAAUUUGACCUCAAAUCAGGUAGGACUACCCGCUGAACUUAAGCAUAUCAAUAAGCGGAGGA